ACAUGCAAGUCGAACGAUGAUCCCAGCUUGCUGGGGGAUUAGUGGCGAACGGGUGAGUAACACGUGAGUAACCUGCCCUUGACUCUGGGAUAAGCCUGGGAAACCGGGUCUAAUACUGGAUAUGACCUUCUGGCGCAUGCCAUGUUGGUGGAAAGCUUUAUUGCGGUUUUGGAUGGACUCGCGGCCUAUCAGCUUGUUGGUGGGGUAAUGGCCUACCAAGGCGACGACGGGUAGCCGGCCUGAGAGGGUGGACGGCCACACUGGGACUGAGACACGGCCCAGACUCCUACGGGAGGCAGCAGUGGGGAAUAUUGCACAAUGGGCGCAAGCCUGAUGCAGCGACGCCGCGUGGGGGAUGAAGGCCUUCGGGUUGUAAACCUCUUUCAGUAGGGAAGAAGCGAAAGUGACGGUACCUGCAGAAGAAGCGCCGGCUAACUACGUGCCAGCAGCCGCGGUAAUACGUAGGGCGCAAGCGUUAUCCGGAAUUAUUGGGCGUAAAGAGCUCGUAGGCGGUUUGUCGCGUCUGCCGUGAAAGUCCGGGGCUUAACUCCGGAUCUGCGGUGGGUACGGGCAGACUAGAGUGAUGUAGGGGAGACUGGAAUUCCUGGUGUAGCGGUGAAAUGCGCAGAUAUCAGGAGGAACACCGAUGGCGAAGGCAGGUCUCUGGGCAUUAACUGACGCU
rnacentral:rRNA from 1 species